UGGGGAAUAUUGCACAAUGGGCGCAAGCCUGAUGCAGCCAUGCCGCGUGUAUGAAGAAGGCCUUCGGGUUGUAAAGUACUUUCAGCGGGGAGGAAGGGAGUAAAGUUAAUACCUUUGCUCAUUGACGUCACCCGCAGAAGAAGCACCGGCUAACUCCGUGCCAGCAGCCGCGGUAAUACGGAGGGUGCAAGCGUUAAUCGGAAUUACUGGGCGUAAAGCGCACGCAGGCGGUUUGUUAAGUCAGAUGUGAAAUCCCGGGGCUCAACCUGGGAACUGCAUCUGAUACUGGUAAGCUUGAGUCUCGUAGAGGGGGGUAGAAUUCCAGGUGUAGCGGUGAAAUGCGUAGAGAUCUGGAGGAAUACCGGUGGCGAAGGCGGCCCCCUGGACGAAGACUGACGCUCAGGUGCGAAAGCGUGGGGAGCAAACAGG
rnacentral:rRNA from 1 species